CGCGUAGGCGGUUGUGUAAGUCAGAUGUGAAAUACUUCGGCUUAACCGGAGAACUGCAUUUGAAACUGCACAGCUAGAGUACAGGAGAGGGAAACGGAAUUCCCGGUGUAGAGGUGAAAUUCGUAGAUAUCGGGAGGAACACCAGUGGCGAAGGCGGUUUCCUGGCCUGAUACUGACGCUGAGGCGCGAAAGCGUGGGGAGCAAACAG
rnacentral:rRNA from 1 species